rfam:Beta vulgaris subsp. vulgaris contig128987.1, whole genome shotgun sequence.
AUUUGAGGGGUUCAUUCUCUAGUACGAGAGGACCGAGAAUGACGAACCGCUGGUGUUCCGGUUGUCACGUCAGUGGCAGCGCCGGGUAGCUAUGUUCGGAAGGGAUAAGCGCUGAAAGCAUCUAAGCGCCAAGCCCAUCCCAAGAUAAGAUCACAAUCCGUCGCAAGACGGUGCAGGCUCCGGGUAGACCACCCGGUUGAUAGGACGGAAAUGUAAGCGCAGUAAUGCGUUCAGUUUACCGUUACUAAUGAGCCUGCCGGUUUAUGCAA